rnacentral:rRNA from 1 species
CGGCGGAUUUAGAUUGUUUCUAGUGGCGGACGGGUGAGUAACGCGUGGGUAACCUGCCUUAUACAGGGGGAUAACAGUCAGAAAUGACUGCUAAUACCGCAUAAGCGCACAGAGCUGCAUGGCUCGGUGUGAAAAACUCCGGUGGUAUAAGAUGGACCCGCGUUGGAUUAGCUAGUUGGUGAGGUAACGGCCCACCAAGGCGACGAUCCAUAGCCGGCCUGAGAGGGUGAACGGCCACAUUGGGACUGAGACACGGCCCAGACUCCUACGGGAGGCAGCAGUGGGGAAUAUUGCACAAUGGGGGAAACCCUGAUGCAGCGACGCCGCGUGAAGGAAGAAGUAUCUCGGUAUGUAAACUUCUAUCAGCAGGGAAGAAAAUGACGGUACCUGACUAAGAAGCCCCGGCUAACUACGUGCCAGCAGCCGCGGUAAUACGUAGGGGGCAAGCGUUAUCCGGAUUUACUGGGUGUAAAGGGAGCGUAGACGGAUGGACAAGUCUGAUGUGAAAGGCUGGGGCUCAACCCCGGGACUGCAUUGGAAACUGCCCGUCUUGAGUGCCGGAGAGGUAAGCGGAAUUCCUAGUGUAGCGGUGAAAUGCGUAGAUAUUAGGAGGAACACCAGUGGCGAAGGCGGCUUACUGGACGGUAACUGACGUUGAGGCUCGAAAGCGUGGGGAGCAAACA